rnacentral:misc_RNA from 2 species
AAUGCAUAUGGCACCUGUUGGUAUUACUAGCAGGUAUACCUGUUUGAGAAUCAUUUUAAUUUAUUUUCUGUAUCAUGUUCAUUCAUUCAUUUGGAUGGAUGUGAAUGGGAGAGGAUGGGUUUUCAUGGAUGAUCACCUUGAAAUGUGGGAUGAUUGGAUCAUUGGUAAUGAUUGUUGCUAGUCAUUGUUGAUUGAUUGAUCGAUGAAUUUGAUGUGAUGAUCUCAAAUCAGGUAAGAUUACCCGCUGAACUUAA